UCCUGGUUAGCUCAAUUGGUAGAGCGACCGCCCCGGUUAGGCGUUGGUCCCGGGUUCGAUCCCCGGACCAGGAC
rnacentral:tRNA from 1 species